CACGUAAGCUGCGAGCGUUGUUCGGAAUUAUUGGGCGUAAAGGGCAUGUAGGCGGUUCUGCAAGUCUGGUGUGAAAUGCCGGGGCUCAACCCCGGAACUGCGUUGGGAACUGCAGGACUUGAAUCGCUGAGGGGCAGCCAGAAUUCCAGGUGUAGGGGUGAAAUCUGUAGAUAUCUGGAAGAAUACCAAUGGCGAAGGCAGGCUGCCAGCAGAUGAUUGACGCUGAGGUGCGAAAGCGUGGGGAGCAAAC
rnacentral:rRNA from 1 species